GCGGGGGUAGCUCAGUGGUAGAGCGUCUGCUUCCCAAGCAGGAUGUCGCGGGUUCGAUCCCCGUCCUCCGCUCCA
rnacentral:tRNA from 2 species